CUAACAUUGCUAAUCAUGUGUCAAAUUGAAUGAAUUUUAGAAAUGCAACAACUCUUCUGGUGUGUGGUGAUCAAUGUGGUCUUACCUGAAAGUUUGGGUAAGAUGGAAAAAUAUAAUGCCAAAUAUUUUCUACAUUUUAGAGUUCUUGAGUAUUGGUGAACUACAAUGAAGGAGGGAUGGAGAAGAAGACACAAUCACAGACAGGGUGUGCUAUGGGCCAGAUUUCUUUAGGCCCCUCUCUACAAGAUCUGAAUUGGAGAAUAAGUUCUGGGUCUGCCACUUGAUUGCUCAGUGACCUCGGAUGUUGGUGCUGCCUUCUCCAGAGGGCAUUAUAGAGUCUUUAUCUAGAUUGAGGUCUCAAUCUUCAAUUGAGAAUUAAUCAACUGUACUACUAGGUCAAUCAGUGUUGCUACUUCUCUUCCUAAUUGCUGUGACGCUCAUCUGUAUGAUAUUGGAACUGCCGCUGCCGCUGGAAACCAAGGACCUCUCCUCUGUUACAUCUCUCAAUUACUCCUGCCUUUUUGCUGCUGCCUUUUCUUCUACCACACGGCUGCACCAGUUUGCAUUCCCACCAGCAGUGUACGAAGGAAUUUUUAAGCGUUGGCAGUUGGUCUAAAAAUUUUUAAACACUGUAUGAAUCCAGUAAAACAUCUGUGGAUUGGAUAAAACCUUAAGACCACCAAAGCUGACUUGUGAUGUGGGAAAAGUCAUUCCAAACAAAAGCAAUAACUUGUCUAAAGGAGUGAGAGAAUAUUCACGAUCUACCAGUCAUUGAAAUGAAGAAUGUUUCUUGAGGAGCUAAAACUGGAAAGUUUCCCUAACUAAAAAGAGUCCAAACCAAAAGAGAUGCAGAACAGAAGCAAAAUACAAGGUCAUAGCUCCAUGUUUGCAGUGUAGAAAGCAUCCUUAAUCCUCUGGGUGACUGCAGAAAUUGUUCCAGGAGUGAACACAGGUUGAAUUCUUCAGGAGCAGUUGCCAGGACAGAGUUUGGAGACACGAUGUUUAUUAGAGAAAAGGAGAGGAAGCAAUUGCGCCGUGAUGCAGGAAGCUGUGGACUUAUAAUCAGUGGGACUCUGCUAUAUCCCUGGGGAAAUUGUGCCCUCUUUUGAGAAUCGAAUGUCUAACCAUGCAGAGCCCAGAGUUGCAGAAAUAGAGAGCACAGAAGACCCCAGUAGAUCAUUGAGAAUAAUGUUUCUGCUGUUUUCAUCUUGGAGCCCGGAGCAUCCAUGUGAGAAGUAUGACCACCCUGCUGCAGAGAUGUGUGGAGAAAAAAAUCUAACUUAUCCAUCAUCAUGGGAUUGAUAUAAGCUCUACUCCAACCUGUUCUAAGUCAAAAGUCUGGACCCUACAGAAACUGGAAGGAUCCAAGAGGAGGACUGUAGACUAUCAAGGAUUUCAACAAGUAGUAGCCUCGAUUGCAACUGCUGUGCUGGACAUGGUAUCCUUGUUGGAGCAGAUUAAUAUGGCCUCAGGUACAUGAUAAGGAGCUGACGUACAGUAUUUAAAGAUCUUGCCCAAGAUUGCACAACUAGAAAGUAGAAAACUUUACACACCAAACCAGGAAGGCUGAACCUGGAGCCCACACCCUGAGCCACCCAUCUUAACUC
ensembl:lncRNA